AUGAGGGAGCCACGGCCACGACGAAGUCCGUGCAAGCAGCCGACGACGGAGAAACACGGCCAGCCAUGGCGCCGCCGGACGAACAGCAGCACGCGAGAUGCCAAGCUUCUCUCUAGCGAUAGUGCCGUGCCGUCGCCGCAGCCGGCCAAGGCUACAGGGGGACUACUUGCUGGGGCAACGACGAGCUUCUCCGAGGACGAGGAGGACCUCCUCAUCAAGUUGCACGCUUUGCUCGGAAACCGCUGGCCCAUCAUCGCCGGGAGGCUGCCUGGGAGGACGGGCGAGGAGGUGGAGGCCCACUGGGGUUCGCCGGCGAUGAGGAGGCGCACGGGCGGCGCCGAUCCCGACGGCCAUCGUGCACUACUGCAGGCUUUGCUAGCCUCCUCACAUGAUCAGCACGGCGAGCAUCUGCAAAGGACCGUGCCAAACCAAGUACGCGACGAGCGCCCCGGCCGUCCUACCGACGACAGUGCAGUGUCGGACGCCGGAAGCAGCAGAGCCUGCGCAUUAUCGGACGCCGACAGCAGGUGCCUCUCUGAACUGAACCUGGAGCUCACCCUCCCUACGCCGUGCAGUGCGUCUACUUGA
rnacentral:rRNA from 1 species